CAGACGUUUGAUAUGACUAUUUCCAUGCAAUGCUGCUGGUUUUGCUGACUACAGCGUAGGUUCCUAAAAGAAGCUAUGAGGUUUGGUUCAUACAAGAAAUUGACAUUUCAGCCGUCUCCCCAACAUUUUACAGCAGUGCAAAAAGUCUGCAAUAAAUGUGACUUAUAAGCACGUUCGUAAAUCUCCACGGAUUAUUAUCAUGCAAUCAGUGGGCAAUUCGAGCAUGAACACACCAAGACAGUUCUUCAAGUGGUGUAGCAGGAACUUGAUUCCAGUCAUUUCAUCAGCAAGUGUGGCCAAUAAGCUGUGAACAGACAACUGCCUGUAGUCCAGCUUCUAUGUUAGUUUAUUUCAAAAGAUAUCUCCAGUGGAAUUAAAAAAAUAAGAGGAUUCUGGUUUGAAGUCUUUUCCAUGAUUCAUCAUUGGAUACUAAGCACUGUGGACAUCUACAGAACCUUCUCAUUGGAAAGAGACUGAAUCUGUGAGACUGUUGUGUGUGAAAACCUCAGGAGUUCAGCAGAUUCUGAGAUACUCAAACUACUCCGUCAGGAAGCAACAAUCAUUCCACAUCAAAGUCACUUCGAUCACAUUUCUUUCCCCAUUCUGAUGUUGGAUCUGAACAGCAACUGAACUUCAUGACCAUGUCCGCAUGCUUUUAUGCAUUGAGUUGCUGCCACGUGAUUGACUGAUUAGAUCUUUGUAUUAACGAGCAGGUUGACAACUGUACCUAAUAAAGUGGCCACUGACUCUAUGUCAUUCAAGAUAGGGGAAUAAAACACAAUGCAAAGAUCCAAUGGAAAGAAAUGAAAACCCUCUGAGAAUGAAUCUGAGCAUGUUGACUAAUGCUACAAAGUGAAUUAUAUUUAAGUUUAAUUACACAGCUGCGCACUGAGAUCAGAGUAAAUUGGGAGUUGUCACUUUCCAAAUAUCAGAGCUUUUCCUCAUCAGUUUCCAAGGGCUGUCACAUAUACUCAGUGGCCACUUUAUUAGGUACACCUUACAAAACAGUCUGGUCUGCUGCUGCUGCUGCUGCACCCGACCACUUUAAGAUUCACUGUGUUGUGCAUUCAGAGAUACUUUUCUGCACCCCACUGUUGUAAUGCAUGAUUAUUUGAGUUACUGUCACAUUCCUGUCAGCUGAACCAUUCUGACCAUUCUCCUCUGACCUCUCUCAUUAACAAGACAUUUUUUCCCCACUAAACUGUUGCUCAAAGGAUGUUUUUGUUUUUCCACACCAUUCUCUGUAAACUCCAGAGACCGUUGUAUGUGAAAAUCUCAGGAGUUCAGCAGUUUCUGAGAUACUCAAACCACCCUGUCUGGGAGCAACAAUCAUUCCACAAAGUCACUUCGAUCACAUUUCUUUCCCCAUUCUGAUGUUGGAUCUGAACAGCAACUGAACUUCAUGACCAUGUCCGCAUGCUUUUAUACAUGGGAGUUGCUGCCACAUGAUUGGCUGAUUAGAUCUUUGCAUUGAUGAGCAAGUGUACCUAAUAAAGUGGCCACUGCUAAUACUAAUAUUAAAGUCAUGUAACUUAGUCCAGGCAUUGACACCCAGUAACUUUGACUGCUGGGGUCAUUUUAAUUUUAAUUGCACACUCAAGUCAAAAUUGUGUUACUAUAAAGUUAGGAGUACAAUUGCAUUCUACUUCUGAGAUCAGUAAGUUUUUAUUUGAUUGUACGUUGUCAAUUUUGUGUUUGCAACACUGGCUACAAGGAUAUUAUUAAUAUCUGUAUUAUUAAAAUUGUUUUAUGACCUCGUUUUUUUGAAAUAAAUAGCAUUUAAUCAUUGUAUGGAUGAUACCCAAAGAUUAGUAAAGGUUUUGCAAAUAAUUUAUGAAUAUAUGAAAUCUGAAUCAAAACAGCCAUAAAGUAGGCUUGUCAGUUUUACAGGAGUCAUAAAGUAGCUAGUUUUUGUAAAGAUGUGCAUAUAUUAAUCUUUCAGGCAGUAAGUGAAUUGGAUGCCAAGCUCAC